GACGAACGCUGGCGGCGUGCCUAAUACAUGCAAGUCGAACGCAGUGGGGACGGGUGAGUACCACGUGGGUAACCUCCCAUCAGAGGUGAUAACACUUGGAAACCGGUGCUAACCCCCUCCUGAUUGAUGAACCCGCGGUGCAUUCGCUAGUUGGUGAGGUAACGGCUCACCAAGGCCACGAUGCAUAGGCGACCUGAGAGGGUGAUCGGCCAAAAGGGGACUGAGACAAGGCCCAGACUCCUACGGGAGGCAGCAGUAGGGAAGCUUCGGCAAUGGACGAAAGUCUGACCGAGCAACGCCGCGUGAGUGAAGAAGGUUUUCGGAUCGUAAAACUCUGUUGUUAGAGAAGCGGUAUCUAACCAGAAAGCCACGGCUAACUACGGGCCAGCAGCCGCGGUAAUAC
rnacentral:rRNA from 1 species